rnacentral:rRNA from 1 species
GACGAACGCUGGCGGCGUGCUUAACACAUGCAAGUCGAACGCGCCUGUCCUCUGGGUUUCUGGGGGGUGGGUGAGUGGCGAACGGGUGAGUAACACGUGAGUAACCUGCCCCCUUCUUCGGGAUAACGGUCUGAAAGGGCUGCUAAUACCGGGUAUUCACUGGUCUCCGCAUGGGGUCUGGUGGAAAGGUUUUUUUCUGGUGGGGGAUGGGCUCGCGGCCUAUCAGCUUGUUGGUGGGGUGAUGGCCCACCAAGGCUUUGACGGGUAGCCGGCCUGAGAGGGUGACCGGUCACAUUGGGACUGAGAUACGGCCCAGACUCCUACGGGAGGCAGCAGUGGGGAAUAUUGCACAAUGGGCGCAAGCCUGAUGCGGCGACGCCGCGUGAGGGAUGGAGGCCUUCGGGUUGUGAACCUCUUUCGCCCGUGGUCAAGCCGCGACGUGGGUCGUGGUGAGGGUAGUGGGUAAAGAAGCGCCGGCUAACUACGUG